GUUGUAUGUCUGUUUUACUUAGAUACUAUCCCACCCUGGAGAGUAUCCAGGUGGGAUCCAACACAGAGGAUUGUCAUCAGAGUAGCUCUGAUUUACUUCCACUGUCAGUUUCAUAAGCAUGAAUUCUGGGUUAUAACCCAUGAGCAGUUGCACUUUUUAAUCCAACACAAAGGUUGUCAGAUUUCCAAGACAGAUUCCAGAUGACGAUACGAAAAGCUCGUCUGAGUAUGUGCUCUUCCUUAGGGAGAAAGAGGAGCCAGUGGACCUGUGGGAGAACAAGGUACUAAAGGAUGCUAUGGUGCCAAGGGCCCUAAGGGAAAACAGGGGACUAAAUGGACAGGAGGGAGAAGCUGGGGAAAGUGGAAUUGAUGGCUUAAAUGGAGAACAGGGUGAUAGUGGUCUUCCUGGAGCAAAAAGGAGAGAAAGGCAUUGAAGGAGCCCAGGGAAUCCCGGGAGAGAGAGGAAUUUCUGGGGACCAUGGAGCAAAGGGCUUGCGUGGAGACCCAGUAAGUGUGCUUGACCGAGGGGCUGCAAACUAACGUCACGUCAGGGCUCAUUUCCCAUCAGC
rnacentral:lncRNA from 1 species